rnacentral:lncRNA from 1 species
GGAAAAGCUAAAGUGCAACAAUCAUAUACAGAAAAAGAAGGGAUCACAAUCAUGCAAUUAUCGCAAAGGUGAAAAAAAUAUCUUUUAAUCAAGCACGCAAAUAUGUACUUGUACUUACCACUACGGAUUAGUGACUCGUUAUGGAAAAAUAAAUCCAUAACGGUAUAGGAUGUCCUGGCUUAAACUUGUGAUGACACAGUCUACUUGAUUGAAUACCAAACGUACCAGAAGCAUUCAGAUAUUGCAGGGCAGCCCAAACAUGCUAUUACAUGUAGACUAUGGAUGGUCCCUGUUUGAGUGGGGUCCAAGGUCAUCACGCCUUCACCUUUCUUAGGUGCUGCAUCUACUUCAAAAGCAGGGAUUUUAAACAUCUGUCAGACAAAGAACACAAACCUCGGUUUUUAAUGAUACCCAAUUAGUAUUACAAGGAUAGCAAUACAUAUUUCAAUACUUAAAAUCUUAAUAAUGCAAAACAUAUGAAGGAAUCUCAACUUGACAAACGAAGCGUACAAAGAUUCAUCUGAUACAGUCAGAAACUCAGCAUUGCUAACGGCAGGGACAUGUGAAGGCUAUUAUUUUUGUGAUUUCCAUCCCAAAGUUAAGAUCUUGAGGCAGGAGAACAUAACACCGGGAGAAAUAACAUCUUGGAGAAAAACAAAUAUCAAAGCUGCAAUAGUGUGUGCUGUGCAGAGUAAAAAGACAUUUGGAAGUAGUGAAAACCUGCAGGAAUAUUCUGAGCUGACAAAGAUAAUUAUGCAAGGGAAGAACCAUGCCAGCUCCCUUUUUGCAUUUGGGAUUAGGCUUAGGUAGUUCACAAAGCAAUCACAUCACCUUUCUUCAGAGCAAGUGCAGAGAUCACAUGGAACAACAAGAAGAAACAUGUGCAUUCUUGUCCUAGGCAGGCUUCACCCUUCGAAAACUCGGUCUCAGACGCAAUGCAACCUCAUAUUGGAAAUACCAUGAUACUGGCUUAUGCUUCGUUGGAAUGCCAGCACAUGUCGAAAGAGAUUAGACACCGGAAGCUUUAUUGCCUUUUCCUCUUAACUACCCAACCACAGAAGAGCAUGAGUGUUAGACAUCCUUUCCCUCUACUGAUGCGACUAAGAACACACAAUACCAUGCUUUACGUGGUGUAACUUUGCUUCAGUAAAUAUGCUUGACUAAUUCAAAUUUUAGUUGUAGAUACAAACUCCCUGUCAUCAUAUCACCUUAACUAAAAACUACUCCCUCCGUCCCAUAAUGUAAGACGUCUUUUGACACAACACUAGUGUCAAAAAACGUCUUACAUUAUGGGACAGAGGGAGUAUAUAUGUCUUAAAGAUAUAUUUGCAGCCCAGUCACUGGAUGCUAUUUUAUGGUGGAAACUAGACAGAGAAGUGGGCAAGGGAGAUGGAAACCAUACAAUCAGAGCUAGCAACUAGCUCGAAUAUUAAAUGAAACACAGGAAGCAGCAUCAAAUUAUCGAUCAUCAGUAGCAGUGUGCUCAUAGAUCACUGUUCAUCUACCAUAGCCUUUCUUUUCUUUCAAAUCAACCUUUGACCAAUUGAAGAAAGGAUGCAUUGUCCCAAUGGUCAAGUAUAUAGCCUUGUGUGACAAAUGGAACAGCAUAUAAGUUCGUGAUAAAUAAAACAGUGACAUAUGCACUCAAAAGCAGAGUCGCUCAAUGAUUCUGUUAGCUUAUUAAAUUACCUUGAUAGGACAAGCAAACAACAGACCUACAGAUUCCAUAGCGAAUUAGUUUAAAAUGUCCAGGAAAUAGAAAUCAGUUUCAGGUAAACCAAGUUCGUCUAAAUAUAAAAACCAUAUGCAGUAGAACAUUCAGCGUUACAGACUGCAGCAACUUGGACACUGAAUUAUUUACCUGUAACAUAUAGUAACAGGAAAAGAGAGGUUAAGAAUCGUCCGUAAGAUAAUUCUGGCAUCAUGAUUCAUGGAUCCUUUCCAUCUGCCAACAAAAAGUACUUCAGCAUGUGUAUGCAAAGGACGAAAACAUCCAUGAUAGCGCUGAUUGACUGUCCUGAUGGAAGAUACAGUGUUAUGGACCUCAGUAAAGGCUCGACCUUUUACCCCAUACCCUGGAAAAGCUGCCCAAUUUGCAGUUACACCAAGCCAUAUUUAUGUUCUUGAACUACAUUCAAAUAAUAGUACCAAAAUAAACUAUUAAAAUGAAAACCAUGAUCAAGUGAUCAUUUAGAAAUUUUCAGACAUACUCCCUCCAUCCGAAAAUACUUGUCAUCAAAAUGGAUAAAAAUGGAUGUAUCUAGAACUAAUAUACAUCUAGAUACAUCUCCUUUUAUUCAUUUUGAUGACAAGUAUUUCCGGACGGAGGGAGAAUCAACUAUGCAAACAACUUUAAGAGCAGGAGGUUUCACUGUUGUAAGAAUAUUUUUUUUUAAGCAAGCAUGAUGAUGCAUGAAACACGGCUGUGUACUGCUCAAUUUCAAAAGAAAAGAAAAAACAAGAAAUUCUUUAUCGCAAGACCAAAACUCCAAGCAGCAUAAGGGAAAGUCGAAGUUCUAAGCUCAGCAUUGAUAUAGGGUAAAUUAAUAUGACUUAGGCUCUCAAAGAGUGAACAUAAUAUGUCAUCUGUACGAAUUUACUCCAACCGACUAAUGAUUAGCUUUGUUUCGAAUCUCGUUAGGUUUUAUGCAAUGCUAGACCAACCAGGGACUAUCUCCGGGUGGCGUUUCUUGAAGAUGAAGAAGAGCCUGAGCAGGCACUCUGAGGAAGGCUGUGCCUCGACCAUAGGAAGGUGGGCCGCGAGCACACAUUCUCAGCUAGCCACACCACCAGAGCAGAUACUCGGUCCCAUUCUAUGCAAUACAAACAAGAUCCUUUGUAUUCCGAGCUUCUGAAAUAAUCACUUAUUGCAAUUUGUUAUAGCCUGACCUUGUUGAAGAAGAAUAGUAGAAGUGUUGGAAACUGCAUAUUCAGCGAUGACAUCUUCUUGCUCAAAUGUUCAAUAGUACUCUCUCUGUAAAGAAAUAUAAGAUCGCUUAGAUCACUACUUUAGUGAUCUAAAUGAUCUUAUAUUUCUUUACUGAGGGAGUACCUUCUAUAACAGUGUGACUAUUUUGUCUACUCUAAGGAAGCUGGAUAAUUCAGAGGGAACGUCUGCAUCUAGAUAAUGAGGUUAUGCUCGUAAUUCUGAACCUGAAGGAAAGAAAUUGCGAUGGACUAUCUUCCAUUUCUAACAUAAUGGAAUUAUUGCAUAUACCAAAUCACUACGAUGUAAACCAUAUGUUAAAAAUUACUUGGCAUUGAUUAGAUGUGAAUCUCAAUAGCCAAAUAGAUGAAUUCGAACUAUAAAUAGCUAGGGGUAAAUACUUGUCUCCUGAAACAAGUCUAGAAUGUCAUAACACAUGGAAGCCUGUGAAGAAAAUUGCUUGAUUGCUUCACCCAAGGAUAUAUGGUAAAUCACAUGUUACAUAGCAUAAUAUACCAUAUAACAUCUUCAUAGUACUGCAAAUGCUUAUCCAUACUAUAGUAUGCUACUAGCAUCGAACACUGUAGCCCUUAGUGGUUCAGACAUUUCAGUUAGGUUCUUAUAUUACUGAAUCUUCAGGCACCACAUAUUUUACAUAAAUCGGACUGAGAUUUGCAAUAGCUGGAUAGAAAAACAUAAAAAUCAGACAAGGGAAGUGGUCAUUAUCUACCCUGAAUCGCAAUGAGUUCGUCAGCAACCAGAGUUUGCGCAAACCACGUAGAGCGGAGAAAACCUAUGGCGAUUUCUCCUUCAACGAUAUCUGAACUGGUGUAGCCACCCAAAAUUAGGACCAUACCGCGUGGGACGAAGGGCGUGAACAGGGAGAAGCGUCGGCGGCUGGCUCUGGUCACCCACCGCCGGCGUCGCCAAUGCCGGAGAUUUUUUCCUUUUAGAAAAGCCAUUGCAGGGGAUGC